GGUGGGUUGGCUCAGUGGUUGGAGCGUAGGUCUUAUAACCGAAAGGUUGUGGGAUCGAAUCCCUGGUUUUUUC
rnacentral:tRNA from 1 species